GAUACAGUUCACCACCUUUGUUAAAAAUGGUCUAAUUUCACAACCCACUGUCUGUUGACAGAUAACACAGGUCAGCAAGAAGUGGAACAAAGGAACACUGUCCAGCCCUAGAAAGGCAGGAGGUCCCGGCACCACUGCCACGUGGAUGGACCCUGAGGACUCUGCUGAGGGAAAAAAGAAAAUGCUGACUCAUCCUUCCAGCCCUGAUGACUGGAAAGCCUAGAAAUAACACUGUCCCGUGAAGUCUCCCAACGCUCAGGCCCUGCCCUGCUCCUGGCAGCACAGCAGCCUUGGCACCCCGUGGCUCACAGAAACAUGACCUCCAUCUCUGCCUCUGCCUUACAGGCCUUCUCCCUGGAUGUCAUCUCUUGUAUGGACACCAGUCAUGGAUUAGGGCCCUCCAUGCACCAGUCUGACCUAACCGUAUACAUGUGCAAAGACACCACCCCCCACCAAACAGGUCAUGCUCUGAGGCUCCAGGUGGACUUGAAUUUUUUCAGGGGACACUAUUCAACCCCAAAGACUCACUCCUUAGAAGUAUCUAUUAGAAAGACAUGGUAGUCCUUCUGUACAGUAACGUGGAGUAGUGGGAAGGACAUUCUCACCACUAAAUUCCUUCUCCAUGGCUCAGUCCCCACCUCUGCUGUGCACAGGGCCAGCACUGCAGCACCAAGGAAUCACAGGUGGGGGGACACGGAGAGGGACUGCACAUGCAUUCAGGCAGGGCACAGAAGGCAUGGGUGUGUCCUCCAGGGUGAGCUGUUACGAGCCAGCCUUGCCCUCCAGGCACCGUGGCCCCUCCCACCCACCUCAGGAGCCUGGCCUUCCAUCACACCCCAUCUAGAUGGGUUGUCCUGUGGCCACGGGCUCAGGCCACUGGGCCCUUCUCAACAGCUCUACCCAAGUUACACCACAGCUGCAAGUCUGGUCAAGUUUCUCUCCACAACCAGACUGACCCACAGGGGGAGGCUGUUUCACUCUGUCCUCACUGUCCCCAGCACAUUUACACCUAGCGCAAAGACAAGUGGGUCAAAGUCAUGGAAAAGUGUGCCAUUUAGGACAGCCAGGAACUUAGGCACUGUCCAUUGUGAGGCUGCUACCUCUUGGAUUUUAUCUUCUAGCACUUUCCUUAUACCCCUCGAAUUUGGCUGAGCUUCCAGAUAUCCUGUGAGCAGUGGGGGCCCCACCCUAUGUGGCCAAGACAGAGAGGGAACACCAGGCAGACAGGCCUCAGGGGUAUCAUGUGAAGAGGGGCCUUUGGAGCAUGCCGGUAUCCCUGUGGCCUUGGUUCUGGCCACCGGUCUCUGCUGCAUUCACACCCGUACCUUGGGAACACAGCUCAUUGGCCACAAAAUCCCAGCUUGCUGAAACCUCCCAGUCAAAUUCCUCAGUGACCCCAUUUAGAAAUCCACCUUCUACCCUAAACUUGGUUGUAAGUCAUAAAGUUGCUGAAGUUCCCUUUCAGAGUAUUUCAUGUAUCUAUGGAGAAUCCUAGCCCUGUGGUGAAAGGACCAUGAACAGAGAAUUUUGUUCUGUGAGAGAUCAACCUUGUCCCAAACAUAAAUUUUCCACAACUCACUUCUCACUAAACAGCCCAAUAAAUGCAUUUAUUAACCACA